ACUUCCAGGAGAUAGCUGCUUACAUUGAAAUGAUUCAUUAAAUAAGACAGCAACCCCUCCUCCUCUCCUGCUCACCCUGGCCUCACUGAUAAAACUGUAGUUAGGAGGGGUCGUCUCGAUGAGAACAGCUCCACUGUUACUUUGGUCCAACCAAGUUUCAGUUAAAAACAUAAAAUCAAGGCUGUGCUCAGUGAUUAAAUCAUUAAUUAAAAAUGUUUUCCCAGCUAAAGAUCUAACGUUUAAUAAAGCCAACUUAAGUGUUUUAGAGGUAUUACUUGCCACAUGUCUCCUUCUGUCACCUAAAAGUACAGAGAUUUUAAAACCUUCUAGUAAACAGGGUCCCAGCUUCUCCUGGGAAAAGUCACCACUGCCAUAAUCCUCGCAGCCCGGACCCUCCACACAUCACACAUCAGACUGCGGAGACAGGGCAUGAAGGUGGUAAGGAGGAACUAAGGGGGGCGAGGCUGGGCAAUGUGACUUCGAUUGCUCUGUUGAGGGUGGGGCUCGAUGGCGAACCUUU